GAACGAGCAGGUCCAGCUGUUGCAACAGGAACUUGCGGAGGCACGGCGUGGCCUUUUGAAGACGAAGGAGGAUCUGGCCUCGUCCACAGCGCUAGCAACCAGCAGAGGCAACAGAGCUGGUGAGAAACAUCCUCGGCGUUCUGCCUCCCACGUAGCAAGUAUCCUAGUCAUGGCAAUAUUUGGGCCUCGGUCACCCCCCUAUUGCGCUCGCUGUCCUGCAUUGCAGCUGAGCUAGAGCACGAGGUUGCUAUUUUGCGUGAGAAGUCCUACCAGUUGGAGGUGGAGGUGGCAAGCAUGACAACGGAGCUGCAACGGCUCAAGGCCGACCUUGCAAGCGCGUCGAACAUGAUUGAAGGUGAGAUUUACCUUGUCAUGACUAGGUCGCCCAAGCAGCCGUGCCGGCAAGGGGCCUCCGGCGUACGUUGGAGGCUUGUAUAGCGAAACCAUUUGGUAAUCAUGCAACUUUCUCUGUCAUCCACUCGCUCAUGUCCACA
rnacentral:lncRNA from 1 species